rnacentral:rRNA from 1 species
UAUUGGUCAAUGGGGGCAACCCUGAACCAGCCAUGCCGCGUGCAGGACGACUGCCCUAUGGGUUGUAAACUGCUUUUGCCAGGGAAUAAACCCGGUCACGAGUGUCUGGCUGAACGUACCUGGAGAAUAAGGAUCGGCUAAUUCCGUGCCAGCAGCCGCGGUAAUACGGAGGAUCCGAGCGUUAUCCGGAUUUAUUGGGUUUAAAGGGUGCGUAGGCGGCACUUUAAGUCAGGGGUGAAAUACGGCAGCUCAACUGUCGCAGUGCCCUUGAUACUGAAGUGCUUGAAUGCGGUUGAAGACGGCGGAAUGAGACAAGUAGCGGUGAAAUGCAUAGAUAUGUCUCAGAACACCGAUUGCGAAGGCAGCUGUCUAAGCCGUUAUUGACACUGAUGCACGAAAGCGUGGGGAUCGAACAG